GUAUAAUUGUGAUAUAUCAACUUUUUAAUACAGAAUAGUUAUCUACCUAAUGUGUGUCGUAUUUGUGUUUUUUGUUUUUUUGUUUUUAAUGACAUUUGAUAAAUCCAGAAUCAACUAUGUACCUUUUCAGCAGUUAAAUAUAAUAUGUGUAUCAAUCUACUUAUUUAAUGAUUUUAUAUUGUUUGCCCAUGGAGUGUAUAUUAUAAUCAUAAUUUAUUUAUUUCCCCCAUAUGUUGUGCUUUGCUAAGUAUUAAAAUGUAUGUGGAAAUAAUAUCUGAUCUACUUGAUUUGUUCAAUAAACUUUUAAACGUCGUAAGUACCUAUAUCUUAUUCUAGUUAUUCAUAGUCCAUUCAAUAUUAUACGAUUCUAUAAGUUGAAACUGUCAUUUAGAUUCUUAUUUCAAUUUUUUUUUUUUACAAAGAAGUACUCCUUUGUUCUAUAUUAUGAACAAAUUACGUUGUAAAUAAAUUAUAGUUCUUGAUAGUUAAGAAAAAAUAUUUUGAAUUUGUUGUAGAUGACUGAAGUCGGAGUCCUGGAAUCUUUUACAUUCAUGCAUUCUACAAUAAAUCUCAACUCUCAGCAUGAACAAUUUCUUGAAAGAAUACAAUCAUCGAUCGACAAAUUAAAAGUAUUACUUUUUUUUUUUCUAUAAAAAUAUUGUUUUAAAUGUAGGCUAUUUUAUUAUAAUAUUAUGGUUGUAAUUAAAUAUGAUUUUUUUUUUUUUUUUUUGUAUAGAAAUGGUUACAAAAUGUGUGUACCGAAUGGAAAGCAGAAGAUUUAGUAUCUCUUGGUAAUGUAAUAGAGCCACCGAUGACACCUAACAAUAUAGAUCUACACAUGAAUGGUCCCGACGACAUUACUCCUUUGAUAAAAGAAAAAAUUGACUCUGUGUUGGGUGUGAGAAACCCAGUGAGUCCAAUUCUAUGGAGUGUUGGAUUAAGACCUAUACAAGAUAGUAAUUCUAAAAAUGGAUUUGAAAUAGACGAUGAUCAAACACUGCCUAUAGAUUUUGUUGCUCCAUCUUUUGGAGAUUAUGGAAGCCCUUCAUCUGAACCUUGGCAUAUUUUUCAAGAAUCUAACUACGAUUUGGAUCAGACAAACAUGGUAACUAUAUUACAAUUAAAUGGAAUAAAUUCUCUGCCAUACAGUAAACAUUUUUAUGCCCAGGAUGAAAAAGGCCCUCAGACACCAAACAUAAAAUUGUACAGAAAAAAUGAACAAGAUAUGAAUCAAGAAACUAGUUCAAAUUCAUCAUUUCUUCCUGAAAUUAUUCAAAGUAAUUUUCUAUUUAUUUGAAAUUCAUAAAUAUAAAUAUAACAUAAAUAUAUUUUUUAUUAUUUUUAGAUGAAGAUGUAUUUCCAUGUAAUAAAUGUAUUCACCAGUUUAAGACAUUUAAAGAGUUCGAAGAACAUUUAAAAACACAUGUAAUAAAAACAAGUGCACAUUUAACUUGUGGUAACUUACAUACGUUUUAUAAUUAUUAUACUACCUAAAUAAAAUUAUAUUAUUAUAUCAGAUAUAUUAUUUAAAUACUUAAAAACUAACGUUUGGUCAAAUUUGGUUUAAAUUAUUUAUAAAAUAAAUUAGCUUAUAGCCUGCUUGUUAAUUAACUUUUAAAGUAUUUUAAAAUUUAAAAGUUAUUUCGCGCUAAUUUUUAAAAAUUGCUUAUUAGUUCUGUACAAGCACUUAUUCAGUUGCCAAUCUGUAAGGUAUAUUUUAGAUUCUGAGCAGAACGACUUUUAGUUUUACUACAAUGUUUAUUUAUUUUGUUUCUAUGGACAACAUUUUACCAGCAACUUUGCUCUGAUUUUCGAGUGUAGCACCUUUUCUGUAAAAAAAUUUGACUGAGGUAGUACUUUUGGGAGGUCAUUUUUUGAUGGGGUUUUCAUAAUAAAUGAGAAAAACAGGAAAUUGUACAAAAUGUAUUAUUUGAAAGUUGAAUUACAACCUUUUAAACAUAUAUAACCAAAUUCUUCUCAGAAUCAUUUAUUGUUAGCAAUAAUUAAACGUUGCAUACAGAUAUUUAUUAAAUUUCCCCUUUACCUUCCCAACUUCUCACCUAUAACAGUGGCUGCACCUAUCCCCAUUAUCCUAGUAUACCUUUAUUUUCUGGUUUUUCGAAUAUAUAAAAAAAAUCUUAGGAAAAUCAAAAAAUGACCUCCCUAAAGUACCACCCCAGUCAGAUUUCCUUUCAGAAAAAUUUCUAUCAUUGUAAAUUUUGAUUAGAUUGACAGUGAUUCACCCAUUGUGUGAAGUAUAUUGGUUUUUUAAAUUAAAGUUUUUACUGCAGUCAAAAUAAUGUAUAAAAACACUGAUCAAAAAUAAAUAUUAAAUAUUUACAAAAACUACAAUCAUACAGUCCUGACGAAAGAUGUUUUAUAUUUUUUUAUGCUUAUAAAUUAUUUUAAUAAUUUUUUGUCAGAAAAAAACGCUCUGGGAUUGUAAAAUUCAUUCUAGCCCAAUGCUAAAGCAAGAGCUUUCAAGUUUCAUUAUUUUUCAAUACAUUUUCAGUAAAAUGUGAAUGCUAAAAUAGUAAGGUUAGAAAAAAAACAACUAGGUUAGUAUUUAAUGAUUUAAAAUGUUAAGUAUCACUAGAGGUUUUUCACAUUAUGCAAUCAUGCUGUUGUUUAAAAUUUGAUAUUCAUAAUAAUUAAUAUGAAUAAUACUGACUUUAAUAAUUUUGAUUCACUCUGAUUAUUAAUCCACAGUACAUCUUUUUUUAUGAUUUAUAUGUCAAUAGUUUUUAAUUUUUCACCUAUUUAUCCAAUCAUAAAAUAAUAUAAAACAAUUUGGGGUUUCCAAAGUAAUUGUUAAUUAUUAAGAACAACUUGUGCAAUUCGAAGUUAAUUUCUGAUAAAUUAAUUUCUAUAUUAUGGUUUAUUAUUUACAUUAGUAUGGGUACUAUUAUGACUUUCUUUAUGUAACAAUUUCAAUUCUAUUCAAAAUUUUGAAUAAAAUCGAAAGAUAAUUUCAAUUCUGAUUGUUAAUAGUUCUAGAUGGAUUUAUUAAAUUCUCAUUAUUACUAUUGUUUUAUUUUUUUAGCUUAUUGCGGUAAAACAUUCAAUAAAAAAAGUAAUCUAUGUCGUCAUAUACUAAUUCAUGAAAAUGUUAGACCGUAUUCGUGUUUAUAUUGUGAUCAACAAUUCACUCAAAAAUCAACAAGAGACUCACACUUACCAAAACAUACAGGUUAUAACUAAUAUUGUAUUAAUAAUAUUAAUUUUCUUUUAAAUUUUAAUAUUUUUGUAUUUUAAACCAUAGCAGUUAAAUGAUUUUGUUAUGAGAGAAAAGCUGAUUUUUUGUAUGUAUAAAUAAAUAUCUCUGGUGAUUCUUUUAUUGUUGGACACUCAUUCAUUCAAAAAGUAUUGACUAUUUUUAAAUUUUUUUUUUUUUUUUUUUGUCACCCUUAUUCUUGAGAGUGAAACGACUAUCUACUUUGAUUUUCAAAUGGCCACUUAUAAUGAAUCUUAAAUAGAUAGAGUAUUAGUUAAAAUAAAUUUUGGUAUUGAAAUUUUUGAUUUCCGUUAACUUGUUAACUUGACCCAUUGAUAUUCCACCAAAUUUUAGUUGAGAGAAAGUAGUAACAGUAUCAUUUAUAUGGCAGUACGGUGCACGGUGUUUUAAUGAAACAAAAUGAUAAUAGGUUUGUUCCGGCAUUAGUGUUGUAAACAAGUAAUCAUUGAUAGCAACAUAUCUAAACGUGCAUGCAUCUACAAUAACAAGUUUGCAAUUAUAAAAUUAUAGUGAUCCGCUGGAACAGUUUUCGGCUGUAAUGACUAGAAGAUUAUGGUUGUCACGAGUGUCAACAAGUUGACAGUUGUCAACUGUUGUAAACAAGAAUUGUAUAACAGUUCAUGUUGUAGGCAUGCACAAAACUUCUGACUGAACGUAAAAUUGUCAAUAGAUAAUUAUUUUUAACAUUUUAUUAUAAGUAAAUAAUUUGCCUUGCUAGAACACAUUUUUGAGUUUGUACUUGUGCCAAAAGUUUACAACAUUAAAUAACACUAUGCUGAAAUAAACCUAAUGUAACAUUUUAGAAGUGUUUCUUUAUUACGUUUUCAAAAAAAAAAAAUUAUAAAUAAAGUCAUUACUUUUCAAAAUAAUAAGUGUUCAACGAUAAAAGUCACUCGGUAUAUUAAACAUAUUGAGGAAGAAAAUAUGGUAUAUAUCAUCUUCCCUCACCCCCUCCUCACUCCCUAAUUUUGACUAUCUCUAUCUAUAAACCUAUAGUUUAAGAAGUCUUUUGGAUUCUGAAUGGAACAAAGAAGCUUAUGGUUUUACAAAGAUGGUUUUUUUUUUCUGUUAACAACUUAUCUACCAGAAGACUUGCCUGACUGGUUUCUAAGUGUAGCAUCUUUUCUGAAAGGAAAUUAGUGUGGGGAAGUACUUUAGAUAUGUUAUUUUUCGAUUUUCUCAAGAGUUUUCUUAUAAAAUUUGAAAAACCGAAAAAAAAGAAUAGAAAUAUAUUACCAAAAUUUAAUUAUAGCAAUAUUUCUAAAAGGAAAUUUCACUAGGAAGGUACUUUAAAGAAGUCAUUUUUCUCAGGAGUUUUCUCAGCAAAUAUGAAAAACCAGGAUAAAGCAUGGGAAAACCUUAGAAAAAUUUGGAAAAUCAAUACAACAUUAAACAAAUAUUAUUAAGAAAAAUAUAGAAAGCUUAUUUAAUUAUUAUUAUUUUUUUGUUUUAAAAUUACAUAUAUAUAUAUAUAUAUAUAUAUAUAUAUAUAUAUAUAUGUAUAUUGUUGACAAAACAUCACUAAACUGAACUCUGCUCAAAAUGGUUUUUUCGUAAGCAAUGGUUUAUCGUUGCUUACAGGUAUCCAUUAAAUAUUCUAUAAUAGUGGCUGCACCUGUCCCUAUUAUCCUAGGACUUCUUUUUAAUAAUAUAACUUUAAUAUUGUAGGGGACUACUUGUAUAUGUGCCAUGUGUGUGAUAAACAAUAUUCAACCAAAGGAAAGUUGAAUUUUCAUUUGAAGACUCAUCAAGAAGCACAAUAUGAAUGUCCUUUAUGUGGUAAACGAUUUUCUACCCUCCAAUAUUUAAAUAACCACAAGAAAGUACAUCCAGAUCAAGUAAGUAAAAUGAUUUAAUAGUAAUGUUAUACUAGUUAAAUUAAAAAUGUAAUCAGAAGUGUUUAGAAUUCGUUAGGAUUUAUCUGUGAUGUGUGUCAAUUGACUUUCAAUAAAAGAAGAUCUUUUCUUGCUCAUAGAAAACAAGAACAUCCAUAUAAUAUUUUUAAAUGUUCUUCAUUAGAUUGUGAUAAGGAAUUUUCAACAAUUCAGUUAUUAAACAGGCAUAUUAAACGGUUACAUGAAACAAAUGAAAAGUGAGUACAAUAAUUUCUAUAUAUUAUUGUCUGUAAUUGUACAAUAUUUUAAUUGAUACACUUAAUAAUCUAGCAAGCCUGUAAUAUGUACAGAGUGUGGAAAAUCAUUCAAUUUUCCUAAUUAUCUAAAAAAACAUAUUGCCAGGGUACAUGGUCCGAAACGUUUACCGAAAUUUAAAUGUCGACAGUGUCCUAUGCGUUUUGAUAAUGAUGUAAUGUUAUAUGUUCAUAUGCAAUCGCAUCCAAAGGUAUGAUAUAUUUACUGAAGAAUUACAUUUUUAUUACUUUGACCAUUGUUUUUAUAAUAUUACACUAAAAUAUUUUAAAAUCACUAAAAGUUUUGAAAAUUAACCUUGUAUUAGGUAUUUUGAGGAUAACAAAUCAAGCCCGUAUACAGGGGAGGUAGAAGUUCACCCUCCCCUCCCCCCGAAUUUUUUCAUCAUUUUUAUUAUAUUUAUUUAACGGAUGAGACACUUUUUUAAAUAAUGUGUAGGAAAAGUAAAUUUUAAAGAAAUUUAGUACAUACUAAUUAAAUAUAAAUAACAAAUAAAUGUAAUAAAGAAACAUAAACUAAAAAACUAGGAUCCAUAUUGGCGUUCGACAUUAAUCUUCUCAUUGGUUCAUUAGCUAAAGAGUUUGUGGUGGCAUGAGGGACAUAAAAGAAGCCAUGGAUCUAGUGAAACGUUGAGGUACUUUAAAGUAUAAUAGCGAAACAAGAUCAAUGGAUUCAACUUUGUCAAUUUACAGUCUUCCAAUCUACAACUAGCAGUUCACCUUUGCUCAGCCAACGAGGAAAACCCAAUAAGAUUAGCCACUAGUGAGUAGUCAUCGAGUUGAACAGUGGAUUUUUAAAAAUAUAAAUAGCAAAACGUAAAAACUUAUUCUGAGCUCGUUAAAUUUGCCUUUUCUCACAAGCAGUAUAAAGAUCCCAACAGUGCAUCUAUACUCUAUAAUAGUGCGUACAAUGGUACAGAAAAGUACCUUGAUUGAAACACUUAGAUUCUGUUUAUUAGCCAACCUAAUAAUAAAGCUUAGCAAUUUAAAUGAAAGAUGAACAAUUGACCAACAGGUUAAUCAAUCAACAGGACAAUUGACCGACAACUAAAAUACCGAUAGGAAAAUUGAUUAACAAUAAUAUAUAAAGUAUUAAUUUUCAUCCUCUGAUGAACUGGAUCUCGUUACAUCUGGAAUUACUCUCUAGACCGCUCUCUUUUCUAAUGGUUUCUCCUUUCUAGAUCUCUUUCAGUGUAACCAAAUCUUUAACUGCUCUAAUAAUAUUUUAGAUUUGGUAAUCUCUAAUUCAUGUGACCUGUCGAUUAACAAAGCUCUUACUGCUCUUGUCAGUACUGAUGCAUACCACCCCCUCUUGUUUAUUGAAUUAAAAUUACAGAGCAAUCCUAGACACAGUUUUCAACACAUUUUCUUCGAUUUCAAAUCUGGAGACUAUGAUUUUAUCUCAAAAUUCUUCGAUUCCUUCAACUGAGAGUCCGUCUUCUCUAGAUACUCCACUAACGAUACAGCCACUGUCUUCAAUGAUGCUUUUCUUAACUCCAUAAAUAAAUUUAUCCCUCAUAGGUCUUUUCUACACCAAAAUUCCCUUUAAAAAAUCUAAUACACUAAAAGCAACUUGCACAUAAAGCCUAUAAACUAUCUAACCAGGCAAUAGGUUCUUCAACUUUCUCUGAGCUCAUUGCUAAAUGCAAGUGCCUUAGCUAAUUAUAGGUCUUUUAUAUCUAACUUUGAGCAUUUUCUCACCACAGAUCCUUCUUCUUUCUGGAAGUACAUCAAGAACCUAAAGCAAAAUUCUCAAAUUCCUUCAUCAGUCUAUCUGUUGAUAAAGUAGCAAGUUGUUCCUCUGACUCAGCUAACCUUUUUUCAAGUACUUCUCCUCAGUUUUCAAGCGACCGUCAGCCGUUCCCUGUAGUCCGUCUAACACAUUACAUUUUUCGUAUAGCCUCCUCCAAUUGCUUCCUUUUUUGUACUGACGUUCUUGCUGAGCUCGCCAAAUUAAAGAACAACCUUUCUAAUGGGCCCUAUCUUAUUUCUGCUCGCAUGCUUUAUAGGUGUCAUAAUUCUUUAGUUUACCCUAUUUUUCUUUUAUUAAGUGCUCCCUUUCUGAAGGCAUCUUCCCUGACAUCUGGAAGAUCUGUUUCAUAACACCUAUUUUGAGAUUUGGUGAUUCUUCAGAUGUCUCCAACUAUAAGCCUAUCUCCAUUCUUCCACAUCCUGCAAAAAAUCUUCAAAUCAAUAGUUUAUUUCUAUAUUAGUAGUUAGGUCAACAAUAUUAACCUUUGUCUAGACAUCGGGAAGUGUCAUGUUAUGUCUUUUUCCAAAUCCCUCUCUUAUCUCCCAUCAAUACUCCCUUAGUGACCCCCCUCACUUAAUCACGUCACUGUGGUUAAAGAUCUAGGUAUCUAUUAAACAUCCAAUUUGUCUUUUGAUCACUAUAUAAAUUUGACCAUUGGCCGAGCUUUAAGAGUUCUGGAAUUCAUCAGGCGGAACACUUCUGACUUUACCUUUCGCCUCUGCCUCCGUGCACUUUCUCAUCACUCGUUCGCUGUUUUCUUGAAUACGGCGUAGUACUUUGGCAUCUCCACUUCGCUCACUACCAACUUCGUAUUGAGCGCGUGAAGAAUAAGUUUCUUUUGCUUGCUUCUUAUCUGCUCAAAAUUGACCAUCCAAACACGACUGUUCUAUUAUCCGCUCUGCCCUAGAUCUACCUACCCUUCACUCUCGCCUUAUUAAGGCCGAUUUUUUUUUCGCCUCCUCUUUUCAAUGGAACCAUCGAUGCUCCAGAUUUACUAUCAAUCAUAUCUUUCCGGGUCCUCACUUACCCCUUCAGAACUCAUUCCUUGUUCCACCUACCACAACACCGCACCUCUUAUGGGCUUAACAAUCUCCUCCACCGUGCUUUGCGUCAAUUAAUUAAGGCUUAAUCCAGGCCCUCUUUUUACCUAGAUUUAAGUUAGCCCGCUUUUGUUACCUUUCCCAACUAGUUUUAGUUUAGUCUAAGUUCCAUCUUGUACAAAAUUUCCAGUUUUGGCGUUAAAUUAUUAAAAUGAAAUAACGCCAUGCAAUUUAUAUUUUUAUUUUAAUAAUCUAUUCAAAUCUAUGUAUAAUAAUAAACGUAUAUACAUUUAUAUAUAAUAAACGUAAUUUGAUGUAAAAUUAUUUUAUGACUAUAGUCGUGUAAUUACGUGGGUUUUAUAAUGUAGAAAAAAACGAGUAGUAAUUAUAAUUUAUCGUACGCGAACAAUUAUUAUUAUUGGUUUUUUUUUAUUAUUAUUUUAGAUUCCAAGUGUAGCGAGAGUACUAAUUUUCUAGGGACUGAGCAAAAAUUUUGGUACGUCGAAAUUUGUUAUAUCAAAAGCAUAAAUCAACAAAUUUCGUUUUAACGAGAUUUAAUUAAAAAUUCUUAUUGGAUUAUUAUACAUAAUUACAUACAUAAGAUAUUAUUACAAUUUUAUUAGAUACAAACGUGAAGUUAGGUUAGGAACAGAACAGGUGUUAUUAUUUAUUAAUUAACUAAUUUUUUUUUUUUAUUUUAAAUCGGUUAUUUGUUUUUUUGUGUAGUCACUUGCGCUUACCCGGUCAAUAGCAUUGUCCAAAUUUAAAAUGCUACAAACACACUGUCAUCGAUGUCAUGUCUCUGUAAGUAAUUUAAGACGGCGCGAAGCUCUGAUUUUGCUUCCUUCAAGGUUGCGGUUUAAUGAUAAUCGCUAAAAAUAACUGCGGAAUAGCAAGCUUGAUUUAUAUUUAGCAGAUAUUUUAUAAACGACGAAAUUAAUUUUUCGCGUGGUAAUAACCGAAACAAAAUCGUAAAAUUCGUAAUAUCAGGUUCCACGAUUGUAAAACUUCGUUACAUUACAAGAGGAUAAAAAAUGCGUUAUAUAGAGGGGACAAAAAUACAUUUAAUUUUUCGUUAUAUCACAAGAUAUUCAAGGGAAUGACAGUUUUAUUCGUUACAUCGAGAUUUUCAUUAUAUCAUAAGUUGACUGUAUAUUAUUGUUGGUCAAUUGUCCCUGUCGAUAUUUUAGGUUGCUUGUUGAUUGGCCUGUCGGUCAAUUGACCCAGACCCGAAUUAAACGCCUUGCAGCAUAUAUAUAUCGUUUUGACACAAGGUUGAAAGUAAAUUUAAAACUAAGAUCUAAAAUACUAUCAGUUACACGCAGAAUAUUGGCUGGAUUAAAGGCGUACGAAAAAACCACAGGAGAUUGAAUUCUAGCAAAAGUAAAAACUUUACACUUAGAAGUAUUAAUUGACAAACCCAGAGCACUAAACCAAUCAGAAAAUCUAUCGUGGUCAGUUUGUAGCAAACGGCAAUUAGAAUUGUGUACAGGCUAGAAAAGUCAUCAGCAAAACAAAGAAUACGGGAGUGUUACAGUACUCAGUGCACACGGUUAAUGAAUAGUGAGACAACAAUGACGUCAAGUGUCUCCCUUACGGAACUCUCGAUAUAACCAGAAAUGGGUUAGGUCUAUAUAAUAACUAGGACGCAGAUUUCAAAUCAUUAGCUUCUUUUUCUCUAUAUGCAGUAUAAAUCCAAUGUUUUUACAGAGCAAUGGUGCCAAAGUAGAAAAAUAAAUAUAGGACAUAAUAAUAACAAUAAUAACAAUAUAGGACCCUCAGAGUCGGACUUCGAGAUUCUCUAGCCAUUUUAUUGCCAUUGGACCAUAUUCAUGCAGCGCAGAUACACUUAUACUUCUUACAUACUUUUUAUUGCUUUUAUCAAACAGUUAUAUACAUUUUUGGUUCUUAGUGUAGCGUAGAAUGUAUUGGUUUUACAAAGAUGAUUAUUAUUUUUUUGGUCUUUUUAUGUGAACAUUUUAUACCUGAUAGGUUACUUCGAUGCAUACGAUGUUGACUCUUUUCUGAAAGGAAAUUUUCUUGGAGUGGUACUUUAAAUAGAUCAUUUUUCGAUUUUCUCAGGAGUGUUCUUAUUAAAUGUGAAAAACGGGAAAAUUUACGAAAUAUAUUACUAAAAUAUUACAAUUUUUUUUUUCCGUGAACAACUUUUUUACCACGAGUUUUGCUCUAAAUUACAAUGAUAAUACUUUUUUUGAAAGGGAAUCUGACUGGGAAGAUACUUUAAAAAAGUCAUUUUUUGAUUUUCUAAGAAGUUUUUUUUGAACAAAUUGGAAAAAUGGGAAAAUCGGUACAAUAUUUAAACAAAUAUUAUUAAAGAAAAUAUAUGUAUAUUUAAUCAUUUUACCAUAAUAUGACAUAGAUUGUUAACAAAGCAUCAUUAUCAACUGAACUCUGCUCAGAAUUAUUUUUUCUUUAGUAAUGGUUUAUCGUUGCUUACAGAUGUAUAUUAAAUUCCCCUCUGUAUCCUACCUUCCCAACUUCCCACCUACUAUAGUAGCUGCACUCAUGUGCGACUAAGUAUAUCUGUAUUUUUAAAAAAUAAUUUUGAUAUGUUUAAUUGCAUGUUAGCUGAAGCAUAUAUUAUUGAUUUUUUAUAUAUUUUAUGAUUAUUUAGGAUGAAAAGAAAAAAGAAAGUAAACGCGUGAGUUGUCCUCGAGAAAAUUGUAAUUUGACAUUUUACAAUAGUGUUGGUCUCCGAUAUCACAUUGCAGAAAAACAUGAUAAUAUUUAUCGGUAAGUUAAUAUUUUUAAAUAGUUAACAUUUUUAUAAAUUUUACAAUUGUGUAUAUGCAUUAUAGAGUGUGUUCCACCUUUUAUUUACCACUAAAUAUCUGAGCCUGAUGACCUAAGAUUGAAAUAGGGUUUUCAGUAGGUGAUGGGGAGUACCAAAAUACACAUUUUGAUAUAAUUUUCAGUUUUUAUCCUUUCAGUGCACACACAAUUAAAACUACUAUUUUGAAUAGCAACCCUUUUUUUGUCACCAGAUAUGAAUAGAUUAAAUAUGUAUAUAUAUAUAUAUAUAUAUAUAAUUAUGAUCCAUUUACCAUGGUUUUAAACUUAAAAUUAACUGAAUUAUUGUUCUUUGAAAUUUUAAAAUAAUUUGAUGUUUUCAUUUGAAAGCAACUUUAGUAAAUAAUGGAGGAAAUUGUAAACAUUUUAUAAGAUAAAACAAUUUAACAUAAAUAAAAACAAUAUGUUACAAAGUAAUUAUCAUUUAAUUUUUUAAUAAAAAGUUCCAAAUCCACGAAUAAAUGACUUAAUACAAGUGUAUUAUUUUCAAAUUACAAAAAGCUAUAACUUAGUUAAUUUGAGGUUUAGAAAGAAUAUGGUCAAAAGAUAAAAUGACUCAGAAAAAAAUUAUCUCCCCAUAUCUGGUAACAAAAAUAAAGGUUGCUAGUUAAAAAAGUAAUUUCAACUGUACAUACAUGCAAUUAAAGGGUUAAAAACUAAAAAUUAUCUCAAAGUGUAUAUUUUGAUACUCCCCUUCAUCUACCGAAAACCCUAUUUCAAUUUUAGAUCAUCAAGCUAAGAUAUUUAGAUAUUUAGUGGUACAUAAAAGAUUGAACACAAUGUAUGUAUAUAUAUUUUUUUUAAGGUAUGAGUGUGAAACAUGUCAAAAACGAUUUGUCCGGAAAAAUCACUACGAAUUGCAUAAGACUAUUCACUUAAAACCGCAUUAUACUUGUAAUAUGUGCAGUAAAAACUUUCGCAAAAAAAAUCGUCUAGCUGCUCAUUGGAAAAAAACUCACCAACAGGAAAUAUUUGAUUUUGGCAUGCUCUUCAGUGUGGAUACUGUACACAAAUUAUAACUAAACAAUUUUUAAUAUUAUAUAAUACUUAAUAUUGUAAAAUAUAUGUGGCUAAGAACAAAUCCAUAUUUUUUAAAAUACUUAUUUAUAAAAAAAAAUAAUCAAAUAUGUAUUUUUAUUUAUUAAAACUUAUAAAUAUUAUAUAAAAUACCUAGAUAGCAAACUUGCAUUUAUUAUUGAAGUCAGACGCCAUUUACAGAUUGGGCAAUAAGGAUAGUGAAUUAUUCAUUUUAUUCAUAUCAUUCAUAUAUAACGGUUGUUAUUCUUAUUAUUAAAUUGUGUCUAUUAUAAGAUAAUAAAUAUAUAAUCGAU